GUGGUAUUUCUCAAAUGUAUGCUUUAGUCACAACUACCAAGUCUAGGAUGAGUGAACAACAGGAUUUGGGUAUGAGGUAGCCCUAAAGGCCUAAUCAACAGGAUUUGGGUAUGAGGUAGCCCUAAAGGCCUAAUCAAUAGUGUCCGGUUAACUUUAUGAGCACAACAGGAUUUGGGUAUGAGGUAGCCCUAAAGGACUAAUCAAUAGUGUCCGGUUAACUUUAUGAGCACAACAGGAUUUGGGUAUGAGGUAGCCCUAAAGGCCUAAUCAAUAGUGUCCGGUUAACUUUAUGAGCACAACAUGAUUUGGGUAUGAGGUAGCCCUAAAGGCCUAAUCAAUAGUGUCCGGUUAACUUUAUGAGCACAACAUGAUUUGGGUAUGAGGUAGCCCUAAAGGCCUAAUCAAUAGUGUCCGGUUAACUUUAUGAGCACAACAUGAUUUGGGUAUGAGGUAGCCCUAAAGGCCUAAUCAAUAGUGUCCAGUUAACUUUAUGAGCACAACAUGAUUUGGGUAUGAGGUAGCCCUAAAGGCCUAAUCAAUAGUGUCCAGUUAACUUUAUGAGCACAACAUGAUUUGGGUAUGAGGUAGCCCUAAAGGCCUAAUCAAUAGUGUCUGGUUAACUUUAUGAGCACAACAGGAUUUGGGUAUGAGGUAGCCCUAAAGGCCUAAUCAAUAGUGUCCAGUUAACUUUAUGAGCACAACAGGAUUUGGGUAUGAGGUAGCCCUAAAGGCCUAAUCAAUAGUGUCCGGUUAACUUUAUGAGCACAACAUGAUUUGGGUAUGAGGUAGCCCUAAAGGCCUAAUCAAUAGUGUCCAGUUAACUUUAUGAGCACAACAUGAUUUGGGUAUGAGGUAGCCCUAAAGGCCUAAUCAAUAGUGUCCGGUUAACUUUAUGAGCACAACAGGAUUUGGGUAUGAGGUAGCCCUAAAGGCCUAAUCAAUAGUGUCCGGUUAACUUUAUGAGCACAACAGGAUUUGGGUAUGAGGUAGCCCUAAAGGCCUAAUCAAUAGUGUCCGGUUAACUUUAUGAGCACAACAUGAUUUGGGUAUGAGGUAGCCCUAAAGGCCUAAUCAAUAGUGUCCAGUUAACUUUAUGAGCACAACAUGAUUUGGGUAUGAGGUAGCCCUAAAGGCCUAAUCAAUAGUGUCCAGUUAACUUUAUGAGCACAACAUGAUUUGGGUAUGAGGUAGCCCUAAAGGCCUAAUCAAUAGUGUCCAGUUAACUUUAUGAGCACAACAUGAUUUGGGUAUGAGGUAGCCCUAAAGGCCUAAUCAAUAGUGUCCGGUUAACUUUAUGAGCACAACAUGAUUUGGGUAUGAGGUAGCCCUAAAGGCCUAAUCAACAGGAUUUGGGUAUGAGGUAGCCCUAAAGGCCUAAUCAACAGGAUUUGGGUAUGAGGUAGCCCUAAAGGCCUAAUCAAUAGUGGAGCUUUGUGUUUCCGGUUAACUUGAUUUGUUUUCACACACUGUUGCUGGUAUUUUGGCCAGUGGACCACUGGUGCUGUUGAAUGCAGUAUAGGUGUAUGGAGCUCUCUACAUGUAGAGUAGUCGGUCUGGGCUGCUGCUCUCCAUUGCUGUAAUGGGUCAUACAUGUUUCUGCUUUACAUGGUGUUUGGUUGCAGGUUUCGUUUUUUGGGUUAUUCAUUGUCAAAUCUUUAAAAACCAAAGCCAUACUGCGACAUUUUAGUAGCCUAUCUAGGACUGUGGCAUGUGUCUGAACACUCCCUCCUCUGUGCUCUGUAAACAGGACUGUGAACACUCUCCCUCCUCUGUGCUCUGUAAACAGGACUGUGAACACUCUCCCUCCUCUGUGCUCUGUAAACAGGACUGUGAACACUCUCCCUCCUCUGUACUCUGUAAACAGGACUGUGAACACUCUCCCUCCUCUGUACUCUGUAAACAGGACUGUGAACACUCUCCCUCCUCUGUGCUCUGUAAACAGGACUGUGAACACACUCCCUCCUCUGUGCUCUGUAAACAGGACUGUGAACACUCUCCCUCCUCUGUGCUCUGUAAACAGGACUGUGAACACUCUCCCUCCUCUGUACUCUGUAAACAGGACUGUGAACACUCUCCCUCCUCUGUGCUCUGUAAACAGGACUGUGAACACUCUCCCUCCUCUGUGCUCUGUAAACAGGACUGUGAACACUCUCCCUCCUCUGUGCUCUGUAAACAGGACUGUGAACACUCUCCCUCCUCUGUGCUCUGUAAACAGGACUGUGAACACUCUCCCUCCUCUGUGCUCUGUAAACAGGACUGUGAACACUCUCCCUCCUCUGUGCUCUGUAAACAGGACUGUGAACACUCUCCCUCCUCUGUGCUCUGUAAACAGGACUGUGAACACUCUCCCUCCUCUGUGCUCUGUAAACAGGACUGUGAACACUCUCCCUCCUCUGUGCUCUGUAAACAGGACUGUGAACACUCUCCCUCCUCUGUGCUCUGUAAACAGGACUGUGGCAUGUGUCUGAACACUCUCCCUCCGCUGUGCUCUGUAAACGGGACUGUGACAUGUGCCUGAACACUCUCCCUCAGCUGGGACACACAGAAAGCAGCGCAAUUGAUGUUGAAUUCACAAAAUGUGAGCGCAUCAGGCUGUAAUUUCAUGAAGUAGAUGACUCAACUGUUGACUCUGAUUUAUACACAUUAUGCUCAUGUGUCCUAUUGUCCUUCAACGUGUUCUGUAAUGGCCUGUUAGAACUGAAACUUGGCAUGGCCAUUUAACCUUUAACCUUUCGGCCUGGUAGAACAUUCGGUCUGUGCCGUAGGUGCUGUGCGCUGGCUGGCUCGUGUGUGUGUGUGUGUGUGUGUGUUUGGUGCGCAGCAUGUUGGCAGUGCUUGCUGGGACUUGUAGUGCAUCGCAUCUCAGCCUGUACGGUAGCAGGCCAAAAUGAAUUGAGAACCCAAAUCAAUGGGCAGGCUGGAUAGAUUUGUAUCGUAGUCCCGGAUUCGGCCCGCUGGCCUUGUGUUUUCCAUGUGUUGUAAACUGUCGCGAAAUAGCCAUUAAUGAUCCAAACGGUUACAUCAUCAGGCCUGGGCUGUAUCUAAUGCCCCUUUCUGGGCCUUCUGAACUGUCCAGAAUAGACCCAUACGGAUCCAAACGGUUACAUCAUCAGGCCUCGGCUGUAUCUAAUGCCCCUUUCUGGGCCUUCUGAACUGUCCAGAAUAGACCCAUACGGAUCCAAACGGUUACAUCAUCAGGCCUCGGCUGUAUCUAAUGCACCUUUCUGGGCCUUCUGAACUGUCCAGAAAAGAUCCAAACGGUUACAUCAUCAGGCCUGGGCUGUAUCUAAUGCACCUUUCUGGGCCUUCUGAACUGUCCAGAAU